AUAGUGUUUUGCUUUUAUGUUCAAUUUCCUCUCUAUUUUGUUUUAAAUCUACUUCGGGAAAACAUCGCCACACUGAAACAAGCUAUAAGACUGCAGAUGCUAGAAAAUGAGGUGAGAAAAUGUGUAUAACAUAAAGCCACUCGCACAGGACUAUUUUUAACACUUAUCUAUAAGUGACAUGAUUGCAUUAACACUCAGGGUUUCUGUAGGUUGUAGUGCAUAGUUUUUCACAACAUGUUCAACAUGGAUAUACACCGAUCAGGCAUAACAUUAUGAGCACUGACAGGUGAAGUGAAUAACCGUGAUUAUCUCCUCAUCAUGGCACCUGUUAGUGGGUGGGAUAUAUUAGGCAGCAAGUCAACAUUUUGUCCUCAAAGUCGAUGUGUUAGAAGCAGGAAAAAUGGGCAAGCGUGAGGAUUUGAACGAGUUUGAUGAAGAGCCUAACUGCAGCUCUUGUGGGGUGUUCCUGGUCUGCAGUGGUCAGUAUCUAUCAAAAGUGGUCCAAAGAAGGAACAGUGGUGAACUGGCGACAGAGUCAUGGGUGGCCAAGGCUCAUUGAUGCAUGUGGGGAGUGAAGGCUGGCCCGUGUGAUCCGAUCUAACAGACGAGCUACUGUUGCUCAGAUUCCUGAUGAAGUUAAUGCUGGUUCUGAUAGAAAGGUGUCAGAAUACACAGUGCAUGAUGGGUCAGGGCUGUUUUGGCAGCAAAAGGGGGACCAACACAAUAUUACAGUAGGCAAGUGGUCACUGGUCGGUGUGUAUAUGUAUAUAUAUGUGCAGAGUGAAUAAAUUAAAUGGUUAUUAUACUGUAUAAUAUUAAAUAUUUAUAUAGAUAAAUAAAGAACACUUAUUCACCUGCUCAUUCAUGCAGUCAGACAAUCAUGUGGCUGCAGCAUAAUGCAUGAAGAUGAUCAAAGCUACAGAGCUUUAUUUGCAUGAUUUUUUUCUUUUUCAUUUUGCUGCUUGCUACAUUAAACCAAUCAAAAAAUUUCUCCUGAACAGAACCAUGUCAUUAGGUGUCUGUCAACACGUGUCUGUAAACACGCCUAUUCUCCUCUGUCACUUCACUCGUGUAUAAAUACACAGUCAUAAAUAACAGUCCUAAAUCAAUCCUAGCUGAAACUACACAUUAGGUGUAAUGUGGAUGAUGAAAUGAAAUUACAGAUUAGCCUAUGGUUAAAUGUACCAUUAUGUAUGUAACGUCUAAUAAAUUAAGAUUUAUGACGUGUGGGUAACAUUCGGUCAGCGUUGAAGAUUUGUGCCGUGACCCACUCACAGUGUCUGCAGGAUCUCUGCACUUCUUCUGCGCUUCUUUAUCUGCUUUUAAUUCAUUAUAUUUCAUUUUUUAUGCCAGUGAAUGAAAGGUGGGCAGCACGGUGAUUUAGCGGUUAGCACUGUUGCCUAACAGCAAGACGGUCUUGGGUUCGGAUGGACUUCGGUGUAGAGUUUGCAUGUUCUCUCCGUGCCUGCGUGGGUUUACUCCGGGUACUAUGGUUUCCUCCCACAGUCCAAAAAACAUGUACAUUAGGUUGAUUGGUAAUUCUAAAUUGUCCAUAGGAGAGUGUGUGUGGUUGUCUGUCUAUAUAUGUGGCCCUGGCAACCUGUCCAGGGUGUACCCCUGCCUUUCGCCCAAUGUGUGCUGGGAUAGGCUCCAGCAGAUCCCCGUGACCCAGAUUAGGAAUAAAAGCGGGUAUAGACAAUGGAUGAAUGAAAGUUCUGGCCAAAUGGGAUGACUUGGACUGAGUUCUAUACAUGUCCGCUAAUUCUUCAUCGCACAAUGUACAUUUUACUGAUUUCAUAAAAAUGGAAAGAAUGUGACAAAACCAUGACUCUAAAAGACCAUAACCCCAACAGUUCCAUGUUGUAACACUACAAAAUGUGCAAAAGAUUGAAGAGGAGUAAACCUUAUCUGUACCGUUUAUAUUGCUAGGAAAAGAGUUGCUAUUCAGACACAGUGUGUGAUUUAUAAUACAUUUCCAUCUGUUUACGAAUUGCUGUAACAUGUAGUGAGAUGCUCCAGGUCAGUGGGACAAGAGCAUGAUAGUGUAGUGAACAGAAAAAAAGAAUGUUCUAGAGGUCAGUUACAUGUUUAGGUAAAACAUGGAGAUAUUAUCACACUGACUUCAUUACAUUAACAUUUCUGCUUCUCUCAGUUUAACUGUUGAUCAUUGUGUGUGUGCGUGUGUGUGCGUGUGUGUGUGUGUGUGUGUGUGUGUGUGUGUAGGCUCUACUUUGAUAGCCAGUUCCUAUAAACGUAGAUUCUGCAAGCAAUUUGGCUUCACUAAAUGCUGCAAAAAUCACAGACCUGAAACAAUUCUCCAGCCGCAUGUCUACCCCAGUAAGUGCUGGGGAUUUAAAGGUUUUAAAGGGCAACUGGUCAUCUCUUUGCCCCAUCCUGUACGAAUCCACUCACGUUAUCAUGGAGAACAAGUCGAAACUGCUCUCGAACCACGGAAACAACCGAAGUGCACCGAAAGACUUUGCAGUUUAUGGAAUCAUCAGUGAGACAAAGAAAGGGAAAUGUUUGGGAAAAUUCACCAAUGACAGAAACGGUGAAACCAUCCAGACCUUUGAAAUACCGGUUUUUACCUUGUUCGGCCAUUAAACAGAAGUUGUGCUGUCAGAAACAAGUAGCAGUGCUGGAACAGAAGGGUGGAGAUAUGAGGUGGGACGUUUGUACCGAAUCAAAGCCUUGGACUGAUGAAUGAAGGAGCUGUGUGGCCUGCACAGUGGCCUGACUUUUGCUUCAUUCCUCAUAAAUGUGGUAUUAUGUCCCGUGGAGUCGGUGCCUAAACUCUACAUCACUCAGUAACCGGAUCACAUGGGUCUGGCUGGAAUUCAGGCUCAUUUAGCAGAGUGUAUGGCUGCACUGUAAACACUUAAUCUAGCGAGAGAUUUUUGGGCCCCUUUGGGUCAACAGUUUAGCUCUUUAUUUGAAAUGAUUUCUCUCCC